UUUUUUUUUGUUGAUCUUCAUGCCUCCAAGCUCACCAAGGCAAAUCUAUAUUUUAAUGGUAUUUCGGGAUUGCCAGGAUUAAGACUUUGUGGACGUUAGUCUUGUGAGUUGCCAUUAUUGAGGUUUUCUGAGUUAAAGGUGACUGGGUCCUAAGACGAGGUGCUUUUCCCUAUCUAUUGCUCGGUAGGUUUACCAUGACACUAAAUGUUAGCAACUGUGCCCAGAGUCACUCCGCUGACACUUAAGGUCUAAUUAUGUGUAUAUGAAUACUUGAUGUGAAAUACUAAGACUCAUUUGUUAAGUUAUAUAUGUAUAUUAUGGUUGAUGAUGCCAUUAUGAAUACAUAAUCGGGUCUUAUGAAUUGUUUUCA